GUCUACGGCCAUGCCACCCUGAACAAGCCCGAUCCCAUCUGAUCUCGAUGAUAAGCAGGGUCAGGCCUGGUUAGUAUUUGGAUGGGAGACCACCUAGGAAGAGCAGGUGCUGUAAGCG
rnacentral:rRNA from 1 species